ensembl:lncRNA
CACAUCUCCAACGGUCACCUCCUGUAAAUAUUUAACCAAACAAUGGUGCAGGAGAUUAUUUAAACUGCAGGAUUUUAGAAUCAAAGUAUUUCUGUUGCCUUAACUUGUGCAAACGGUUAAGAGUGCAAACUGCAGGAAAAAAGGGCCGUCUGGAUGGGCAUCAUCUGCUGUGAACGCCGGAUGAGAGCCGUGCAGAGCGGGCGGCCGCGAGCUAGCCAGCGGUGCUCGCUGACGUGCACCAUCACAACAAAAGCAAGCGUGACCGGCUCAACAAGCUGUCAGUGUAAAAGGUGCUGCGAAAGGCAAAGACAGGAAACAGUAUGAGGCAGCCCAGCAGACGGCUUAAUUGAGGGUCCAUCUUGAUU